rnacentral:rRNA from 1 species
GACGAACGCUGGCGGCGUGCUUAACACAUGCAAGUCGAACGGAAAGGCCCUGCUUUUGUGGGGUGCUCGAGUGGCGAACGGGUGAGUAACACGUGAGUAACCUGCCCUUGACUUUGGGAUAACUUCAGGAAACUGGGGCUAAUACCGGAUAGGAGCUCCUGCUGCAUGGUGGGGGUUGGAAAGUUUCGGCGGUUGGGGAUGGACUCGCGGCUUAUCAGCUUGUUGGUGGGGUAGUGGCUUACCAAGGCUUUGACGGGUAGCCGGCCUGAGAGGGUGACCGGCCUCAUUGGGACUGAGAUACGGCCCAGACUCCUACGGGAGGCAGCAGUGGGGAAUAUUGCACAAUGGGCGGAAGCCUGAUGCAGCAACGCCGCGUGCGGGAUGAAGGCCUUCGGGUUGUAAACCGCUUUAGCCUGUGACGAAGCGUGAGUGACGGUAAUGGGUAAAGAAGCACCGGCUAACUACGUG